GGUUGUGGCUUAGUGGUGAGAGUGCUUGCCUAGCAUGUGUGAGGCACUGGGUUCAAACCUCAGCACCA
rnacentral:tRNA from 1 species